rnacentral:rRNA from 1 species
GACGAACGCUGGCGGCGUGCCUAAUACAUGCAAGUCGAACGCUUCUUUCCUCCCGAGUGCUUGCACUCCAUUGGAAAGAGGAGUGGCGGACGGGUGAGUAACACGUGGGUAACCUACCCAUCAGAGGGGCAUAACACUUGGAAACAGGUGCUAAUACCGCAUAACAGUUUAUGCCGCAUGGCAUAAGAGUGAAAGGCGCUUUCGGGUGUCGCUGAUGGAUGGACCCGCGGUGCAUUAGCUAGUUGGUGAGGUAACGGCUCACCAAGGCCACGAUGCAUAGCCGACCUGAGAGGGUGAUCGGCCACACUGGGACUGAGACACGGCCCAGACUCCUACGGGAGGCAGCAGUAGGGAAUCUUCGGCAAUGGACGAAAGUCUGACCGAGCAACGCCGCGUGAGUGAAGAAGGUUUUCGGAUCGUAAAACUCUGUUGUUAGAGAAGAACAAGGACGUUAGUAACUGAACGUCCCCUGACGGUAUCUAACCAGAAAGCCACGGCUAACUACGUG